rnacentral:rRNA from 1 species
AUUGAACGCUGGCGGCAGGCCUAACACAUGCAAGUCGAACGCGUGCCGGACGCGUGAGUAAUGUCUGGGAAACUGCCUGCUUUUGGUGGAUAACUACUUGAAACGGUAGCUAAUACCGCAUACCAUCCGAUGUGCCUAGAUGGGUUUAGAUUGUUGGUGGGGUAACGGCACACCACGGCGACGAUCCCUAGCUGGUCUGAGAGGAUGACCAGUCACACGGGAACUGAGACACGGUCCAGACUCCAAUGCGAGGCAGCAGUGGGGAAUGUAGCACAGGGGGCGCAAGCCUGGCGCAGCCCUGCCGAGUAUAUGGAGGAGGCCUGCGGGUUGUAAAGGACUAUCAGCGUGAAAGCGUUACCCGCUGAAGAAGCACCGGCUAACUCCGUGCCAGCAGCCGCGGUAAUUC